GCCGAGGUAGUCUAGUGGUAAGGCGCAAGCCUGGAAAGCUUGUGAUUCGCAAGGGUCGCGGGAGUUCGAAUCUCCCCCUCGGCG
rnacentral:tRNA from 3 species